rnacentral:rRNA from 1 species
GCCUACGGGAGGCAGCAGUGAGGAAUAUUGGUCAAUGGCCGGAAGGCUGAACCAGCCAAGCUGCGUGGGGGAGGAAGGCGCAGAGCGUCGCAGACCUCUUUUGCCGGGGGACAAAAGGCCGGACUCGUCCGGUCCUGAGGGUACCCGGAGAAAAAGCAUCGGCUAACUCCGUGCCAGCAGCCGCGGUAAUACGGAGGAUGCGAGCGUUGUCCGGAUUUAUUGGGUUUAAAGGGUGCGCAGGCGGCACGGCAAGCCGGCGGUCAAAUCGCGGGGCUCAACCCCGCCCAGCCGUCGGCACCGCCGGG